AAAUUAUAUAAAAUAAUAUGAUAUUGAAGGUAUCAAGGUUAUAAAAAUUAUUUAAAUUUGUUGUCAAAUGAUAAAAUACAUAGAUUUUUGUUUACUUGAUAUAUUACAAUUUGUUUCUGAUUGGUCUUAUCCAUCUCUUGAGAAUAUCAGCAUACUUUUUAGAAUUCUUUCUAAUACACAUGACAGACAAAAUACAUUUUUAAUGAUUUAUUAGUCAUCUUGAGAAUAAAAUCACCAAUUACAAAAACCAUAGAUAGGUUGGGUAUAAAUAUAUUUGAAGAUUUAAAGUAUUAAUUUUGUAUUUCAUUUGUUAUUGAGUUACCUAUAUUCAAAUUGAAAAAACCACGUUUUUUUUACAUUUAAAUGAGUAGUUAAAUUGUAGACAAUGUUAUUAAAUAUUAUUUUUGUAAUAUUUAGAUAAAAUGAUGUGUUAAAUUAUCAAAAGUAUUAUUGUCUAUAGUUUUUGGAAUAGAAGAUUUUAGUAUUACAUAAAAACUAUAUAAACAAUCUUGUGUGAAUGAAUUUUGACUCUAUUAUGAGUUGCGGGUGGGUCUAACGCAAAUAGUGCGCUGAUGAUUUAAUUUAUUAUAAAAGGUAUUUGAAAGAGCUUAUUAAUUAAGUUAUAUAUUAAUGAUUUAAGUCUAUUAGUGUAUACAGAUAUAGAAUUGUUUACUUUAAAACAGAAUUUUAUACUUAGGUAUGUCGGGGGAGUUAUAAAAUGUUUUGUAAAUUUAACCAUCAUACUCUGGGUUAGAAAACAUUAUUUGGUCUAAAGGAAUUUGUUUAGGAAAUUAAAUUUUUGUUAUUUAAGUUUGGUCUAUUAUAGGUAGUAAGUUCUAAGAUUAGCAAAAUACUACAAUAUAAUCUAAUUUCUAUAUUAAUAUGAACAGUAACGGGCUCAGAAAUUGUAGAUGGGGAGUGUAUGAUUGAAGCUGCCAUAAUUGAUAUAUAACAGAUAUUAAUAAUAAUAUUUGUGGAAAAUAUAAAAAUAUAUUAAAAGGAAGUUACACCGACACUUAUUGUCUCUGUCUUACAAGUGUACAACAUAGUAAAUUGUAUGCUCAGCAAAACACUUUUAGCUCCGUUAGUUAAACAAUUUGAGCAAAUGACCUCUUAUAAAAUUUAAAGGUAAGAUUAUUAUCUAGGCAAUCUUAUGGGCUUUUUAUUAUAAUUUAAUUUUAAAGCGACUUGUAAAUCUUAAAAUACUCAUAACUCACUUUAAAAUUAAAAUAUAAUAAAAAUGAGAUUAGAUUGCCUAGGUACUUUUAAAUUGUGUAACAAAUCAAUUCACUCUAAUUUUAACUGACAGAGCUACAUGUGUUCUGUUGAGCGUACAAUUUGCUAUGUUACGCACUUGUAAGACAGAGACAACGAGUCCUCUUAAUGGUAAAUAAUUACAAACAUAUCUUUUUUUAUUUAUUAUUUUUUAAAAGCUUUUAUCAUUUGUACAUAUAAUAGAUUUGUAUGAUAUUGAAACACAUUUUAAGCUAGGAAAACAUCAUCUAUAAAGUUUCAAAAAAAGGAUGCAAAUGUCAUUAACAUUUGGGUCCAACUAAUUACAUACUUAUUAAUUCCUCUAACACACAAUUAAUGAAAAAAGAGGUUUGAUGUUGCAAUGUAAAUAACUACAGCUGCUUGACUUAACUUGGCUUGCUUAUUUGGGAAAAUAAGUGAUAUAUUCAGUAAACAUUGUGUUGUUUUCGACAACUAGUGACAUGGUUAAGUCAGCUUUUAUGAAAAUUAGUAUUUGUAGCUGUAGUAAUGUGGAAAUAUGGAAAAAAGCUUUAGAGGUAUUCCACAACCACUCUACUUGUGGUUAUUAUCAUGUAACUUCUGUUGUUAAAUAAACACAAUUCAUUUUUCAAAAAACCAACCAAAAAUAAAUCAAUGAAGAUAGGUUUGUACUUAUAUACUUAAUAAUAAUAAUAAUGGGUGUUUUACUGUUUUAAAUUAUUAGGUAAAUUAACAUAGUAUAAACUAUUGUUUCAAUAGGAUAGCUACAAUUUAAAAUAUAGGAAAAUUGAAAGAAACAUGUACCAAUGAAUUGAAUGUAUCAUAUUUGUAUAUCGAUGUCUAGAAAUGUCCAGGUUUGCUACAAAAUGAAUGUAAAUGGUUUGUAAGAUUUAUACAGGUACUUAAUAAUAUAAUUAUUUAAUUUUACAUUAUCCAGAGGAAUUGUUUAAUGAUAUUAACAUUUUUGUGUAAUUUUAAGAAUAUAUAGAGUGAAAGGAGAUGGUUUUUUCAAUUUUAUUUUAUAUAACAAUAUUGCAUUAAUAUAUUUCAGUACCUAUUUAAAGUUAAUAUUAUAAUCACUAGCACCUCCAGGUAAAUGCAUGAGCCAAGAAUACAAUUUUGUUUUGUUAAAACGGGAUCUAUGAACAGUAAAAAUUAAUAUCCCCUCCCCCUUUAAUAAAAAAACUAAGUACGUCACUGAAUAUGAAUAAUCCAGGAUUUUAAUGUUAUGACACAUUAUUGUUGAUAAUACUAAAAUAGAUUAGUUAACUUGUUAAUUAUAUAAAUAUGUGUAUACUAUUUUAUAGGCUACAAAUGUCUUGUUUAUUCACGGGUAAUUUAAAGAGAUCAGAUUUUGUCCCAGACUCAAAAUUAUUUAUUACACUUAAUAAUACAUUGCCUUCACUUAAGGCCCGUAUUACAAUAGUUCAACUAAGAUGUUUAAAAUUCAGCUGGUAAAAUUAGUGGGUUAAGCGUAACCGAGGAUUAAACUAUGAUUGUUAACAAGCCCUUAGUAAGAUAUAUUAUUAUAGUAAUAAUUAGUAAAUAAAAUCGAAAUGGUAAAAUAUUAAUUUUAAUUGGCUGUAUACUCCAAUUUUAUAUACACUUUUGGCAAUUUAACCAUUUGAUAAAAAAGUAGAUUCUUUCCUAAAGUAAUCAAUACUUCCACCUCAUAUGUCAGCUUAUUUUUCACACCACAAAUAGGUAAUUGUAAAUGCAUGCUCACCCAAAUUUAUAAAAAGUGUUCAUUUUAAAAUAUGGAUUUAUUAAGUUUAUUUGAAUAGUUAAAAAAUUGAGAUAUUAUAUUCUAUGAAUUGACAUAAAUAUUUUAAUAGCAUACUAAACUUUAAGAAGAUGACAGCAUAAUAUAAGUUGUACCUAUUAUCUCGCUCUAAACUUCUCAUUUUGUACCCAAAAUAUUCAAAAACGAGACAAAAAUGACCAAUUACAUGAUUUGGAACAGUUAUAUUUUGUAUUAUGUUAUAAUAUUUGAAAGUUUACUACAUUUUAAUAGUUAAGCCCCAAAAACAAAUAGUAUCAAUUUUAAACAAAAAAAGGUGGGUAAGUGGAUGUUGCUCUGCUGUUCAGUAGGUUACAAGUGGGUCACUGUAAUGUAUGGUGUUAAAUUUGAAUUUGAUGAUAUAAUAUCAUUGUAUAAGAAAAACGAUUUUGAGCGAAAACGGUCAGUCGGCCUAUGAUAUUACUAAGUACAUUUGAUGAUAUUAUUGUGAAUAAAGUAAUUUAUAUAAUAUUUUCCUAUUUACGUGGAACCUUGUUUUAAAUUUUAACUUUAAAUGAUUAUAAAAAAAAUUGUGCUUAUGUAUUUUUAAUAUUUUUCAACUAUAGAACGAUGUAUCAGGAGUCUUAUAUUAAAUUUUCACGCUUUUUACCCAACAAUUAAAAUUUUAUUGAUACUUAUAGAAAAAAAAACUAUAAAAAUUUAAAA